AGUGGACGCUGGCGGUAGGCCUAGCACAUGCAAGUCGAACGGCAGCACAGUAAGAGCUUGCUCUUACGGGUGGCGAGUGGCGGACGGGUGAGGAAUACAUCGGAAUCUACUUUUUCGUGGGGGAUAACGUAGGGAAACUUACGCUAAUACCGCAUACGACCUACGGGUGAAAGCAGGGGAUCUUCGGACCUUGCGCGAUUGAAUGAGCCGAUGUCGGAUUAGCUAGUUGGCGGGGUAAAGGCCCACCAAGGCGACGAUCCGUAGCUGGUCUGAGAGGAUGAUCAGCCACACUGGAACUGAGACACGGUCCAGACUCCUACGGGAGGCAGCAGUGGGGAAUAUUGGACAAAGGGCGCAAGCCUGAUCCAGCCAUACCGCGUGGGUGAAGAAGGCCUUCGGGUUGUAAAGCCCUUUUGUUGGGAAAGAAAAGCAGCAGGUUAAUACCCCGCUGUUCUGACGGUACCCAAAGAAUAAGCACCGGCUAACUUCGUG
rnacentral:rRNA from 1 species